rnacentral:tRNA from 1 species
GCAUCUGUAACUCAAUUGGUAGAGUAGCUGACUCUUAAUCAGUAUGUUAGGGGUUCGAGUCCCCUCAGAUGCACCA